UGUGACCUCAAAUCAGGUAGGACUACCCGCUGAACUUAAGCAUAUCAAUAAGCGGAGGAAAAGAAACUAACAAGGAUUCCCCUAGUAACUGCGAGUGAAGCGGGAAAAGCUCAAAUUUAAAAUCUGACAGUCUUUGGCUGUCCGAGUUGUAAUCUAGAGAAGCAUUAUCCGCGCUGGACCGUGUACAAGUCUCCUGGAAUGGAGCGUCAUAGAGGGUGAGAAUCCCGUCUUUGACACGGACUGCCAGGGCUUUGUGAUGUGCUCUCAAAGAGUCGAGUUGUUUGGGAAUGCAGCUCAAAAUGGGUGGUAAAUUCCAUCUAAAGCUAAAUAUUGGCGAGAGACCGAUAGCGAACAAGUACCGUGAGGGAAAGAUGAAAAGAACUUUGGAAAGAGAGUUAAACAGUACGUGAAAUUGCUGAAAGGGAAACGCUUGAAGUCAGUCGCGUUGUCCAGGGAUCAAUCUUGCUUUUGCUUGAUGUACUUUCUGGUUAACGGGUCAGCAUCAAUUUUGACUAUUGGAAAAAGAUUGAGGGAAUGUGGCAU
rnacentral:rRNA from 1 species